GGGCCCGCACAAGCGGUGGAGCAUGUGGUUUAAUUCGAUGCAACGCGAAGAACCUUACCAGGGCUUGACAUACUACAGAUCUUUUUGAGAAAGAAGAGUGCCUUCGGGAAUGUAGAUACAGGUGGUGCAUGGCUGUCGUCAGCUCGUGUCGUGAGAUGUUGGGUUAAGUCCCGCAACGAGCGCAACCCUUAUUUUUAGUUACCAACUUGUUGGGUUCUCUAGAAAGACUGCCGGUGACAAACCGGAGGAAGGUGAGGAUGACGUCAAGUCAGCAUGCCCCUUAUGUCCUGGGCUACACACGUGCUACAAUGGCUAAGACAAAGAGUCGCGAGUUCGUGAGAACCAGCUAAUCUCGUAAACUUAGCCCAAGUUCAGAUUGUAGGCUGCAACUCGCCUACAUGAAGUUGGAAUCGCUAGUAA
rnacentral:rRNA from 1 species